GUAGUCUCGCACAGAUGCAUAUCAAUAAGCGGAGGAAAAGAAACUAACUAGGAUUCCCUCAGUAACGGCGAGUGAAGCGGGAAGAGCUCAAAUUUGAAAUCUUCAAGGUUCUACCUUGACGAAUUGUAGUUUAAAGAAGUGUUUUCUGUUGGAGUUUUGGUAAAAGUUCUUUGGAAUAGGACAUCAUAGAGGGUGAGAAUCCCGUAUUUGACCAUUAUUUCCAGCUUUGUGAUACACUUUCAAAGAGUCGGAUUGUUUGGGUAUGCAGUCCAAAAUGGGUGGUAAAUUUCAUCUAAAGCUAAAUACUGGCGAGAGACCGAUAGCGAACAAGUACCGUGAGGGAAAGAUGAAAAGAACUUUGAAAAGAGAGUUAAACAGUACGUGAAAUUGUCAAAAGGGAAGCGUUUGACACCAGUGUUGUUUUCUCGAAAAUCAAUUAAAAAAGGCAGGAUUUUGUGUUGUAUUGACUUUAUCAGCUUUCUGCACUCUUUUCUUGUCUUUUUUUAAUGCACUUUUCGUUUAACAAGUCAACAUCAAUUUCUUUUGUUGUAAAAGGGUCAUUGGAAGGUGGCUUUCUUUUCGGAGAAAGUGUUUAUAGCCUUUGGCCUCUGCAAUCGGAGAGAUUGAGGUCUGCAGCGUAGAUCCUUCGGGGUUAGAUACAUUUGUGCUAAGUUAUAGCCUUUCAUAGACAACUUGUUGACUAUGAUCAGUCAUGUAGCUUACUCGCUUAUGCUAUUUUACCUACGCUUAGGAUGUUGAAGUCAUCGUAUCGCGC
rnacentral:rRNA from 1 species